AAAUGUGUAGCUCAGUGGUUAGAGCAUCUAUCGUAGAGUAGAGGGUCAACAGUUCGAAUCUGUUCACAUUUCCA
rnacentral:tRNA from 1 species